rnacentral:lncRNA from 1 species
GAAAAAAUCUAAGCUUUGGGGCGUGAAGUGACAACUUCUGGGCUUAUUACGCUCGGUAUUGGAGGCCCACAUUUUGGACUCAACUCGAAAUCAUGCCAGUUGAUGGGCUUAUUAUUGCAUAAGAAGUUAAGGAGAUCACAAUAGCUGCAGUUCUGUUGUUUUCUUUCCUUUUGUAAAGCUAGCAUAAUGAACAGCAGGAAGAUGUACUUGGAACGCAAUAUGCUGAAUCAAGAAACAAGACCCCAUAAUUGUCAGUGCUGCCUUAGAAACAGAAUCAAACAUUAGUCAGAUAAUAAAAAAAUCGAAAGUAAACAUGAAAAUAUUGAGUCAUCUGAUUCAUGAUUUUUAUUCGUUGUACACGUUUACUUUCAUUCAUGGAGCUUGACCAGAGACCACAAGGAAUACAAGUAAUGGCAUCC